rnacentral:rRNA from 1 species
UACGUAGGGCCCAAGCGUUGUCCGGAAUCAUUGGGCGUAAAGAGCGCGUAGGCGGCUUGUUAAGUCUUGCGUGAAAUCUCGGGGCUCAACCCCGAGCGGUCGUGAGAAACUGGCAGGCUAGAGUGCGGGAGAGGAGAGUGGAAUUCCUGGUGUAGCGGUGAAAUGCGCAGAUAUCAGGAAGAACACCCGUGGCGAAGGCGGCUCUCUGGAACGCAACUGACGCUGAGACGCGAAAGCGUGGGGAGCAAACAGG